UAGGGAAUAUUAGUAAUGGGCGAAAGCCUGAACUAGCAACGCCGCGUGUGCGAAGAAGGCCUUCGGGUUGUAAAGCACUUUUUGAGAGGAUGAGGAAGGACGGUACUCUCAGAAUAAGUCUCGGCUAACUACGUGCCAGCAGCCGCGGUAACACGUAGGAGGCGAACGUUAUCCGGAUUUACUGGGCGUAAAGCGCGUGUAGGUGGUUUGGUAAGUAGGGCGUGAAAGCUCCUGGAUCAACUGGGAGAGGCCGUUAUAAACUUCAGAAAUAGAGGAUGGUAGAGGGAGG
rnacentral:rRNA from 1 species